CUUUACAAUUAGGUUUUUAUGGAUAAGAGAUGGGAGAAGUACCAGUAUCACAGUAUCCAGUUGCAAAUAUCAUUUAUUAAUCUGAGAAGGCAGAGGGAUUUAGGGCUUUCUGAGUCAAACACUGAAAAGCUGAACAUUUUCCGUCUUUAAAAGCUCAGGAACUGGGCCCACAGGCCAGCAGGAUCACUUCCUUGCCGUGUAAAUUCAUGUUUUAGCUGAAGGUCUCUCUCAGUGCAGGAAGAGGCCUUUGUCAAAAGCAGGCUCAGUAUGGCAGCUGUCCCAGGCCUGGCCCCAUUUCCUUCCCCCCCAACUCCUCCUUUCUCGUGGUGGCUUUCUCGCUCUUUUUCUUGGUAUGGGGCUGGGGUCUCUCAGGACUUAUCAGGUGCACCCAUUCACUGGGCUUCACUGUAUGAGAUGGGGCUCAGCUGGAGGCAGCAAGUGUAGGGGGAAGAAAGGGCUGAUUGAAUUUGCUUUGGGACCAGCUCCAAGUCCUGCAAGGCUUGCAAAUGUUUAGGGGGUGAUUUCCAUAUCACUCUAAAGUUGCUUGUCUUUCUCCCAAAGGGAAAGGCUGCUGCCAAAAGUGGAGGACUUAAAGCUGGAGGCCGCCCCAAAGACGGGGAAAUGAAGAAAGCGCCGUUUCUGGAGCUCCCUGACGACAAGGGGAGCAGCCUCUGUUCUCAGAAUCCCUGAGCUGUGCUCCUCUGGAGUGUCACCCCCGGGGAGAUGGCUGUGUCGGUUUCCUAUUGCUGCUCUAACAAAGCGCGCAGACUCUGCAACUCAGAACCAGAGACUUCCACUGCCCCACAGCUCCAGAGACUGGAAGUGUGGGAUCAAGGUGCUGGCUGGGCCCCCUUCCCUCAGGCAACGCUAGGGAAGGGUCUCUCCUGGCUUCCGGUGGUUCCUUGGGGUGUGUGGCUUACCUGCCCCUUGCCCUCCCCCCACACCCCGACCCCCAUCUUCACAAGACCCUCUCCCUGUGAAGCUCUGUGUCCAAAUUUCCCCUUUGUAUUCGGCAACCAGUCAUAUGGGAUUACGGCAUAUCCUAAUUACCUCAUUUUAACUUGAUUAACCUCUGCAAAGACCCUGUCUCCAAUGAAGGUCACAUUCCGUGGUAUUGGGUGUUAGGGCUUCAACAUAUCUUUUUGGAGGAAGACACAGUUCAACCCAUAACCACAGUCCAUCCCUGAACUCAACGCUGCAGAGGGAGAGACCUGGUUGGUUGGCUUAGGUCAUCUGAGGGGGAUGCAUGUCGGGGAGUGGUUCGCAGGGCCCACACCCUCCUCACAGGUACUGGGAGAGUAACAGGAGCCCAGCACCUGGCACAGAGAGGGCUCUGGGAGUCUGGACUAGAGUCUACAUAUUAGCCGUGUAACUUGGAGGAACGUACUUAUCCUCCCUAAACUUCAGCUGCAAAAUGGAGAUGACGCUCCAUGCCUGGAAGGGUGGCUGCACCAACCCAGCAAGACGUCACACCUGGAGGAAGUGCUCAAUAAACGUGAUUGUCACCGG